rnacentral:rRNA from 1 species
AACGAACGCUGGCGGCAUGCCUAACACAUGCAAGUCGAACGAGACCUUCGGGUCUAGUGGCGCACGGGUGCGUAACGCGUGGGAACCUGCCUUUAGGUUCGGAAUAACUCAGAGAAAUUUGAGCUAAUACCGGAUGAUGUCUUCGGACCAAAGAUUUAUCGCCUUUAGAUGGGCCCGCGUUGGAUUAGCUAGUUGGUGGGGUAAAGGCCUACCAAGGCGACGAUCCAUAGCUGGUCUGAGAGGAUGAUCAGCCACACUGGGACUGAGACACGGCCCAGACUCCUACGGGAAGCAGCAGUGGGGAAUAUUGGACAAGGGGCGAAAGCCUGAUCCAGCAAUGCCGCGUAAGUGAUGAAGGCCUUAGGGUUGUAAAGCUCUUUUACCCGAGAUGAUAAUGACAGUAUCGGGAGAAUAAGCUCCGGCUAACUCCGUG